rnacentral:rRNA from 1 species
AUUGAACGCUGGCGGCAGGCCUCACACAUGCAAGUCGAACGAGUGGCGGACGGGUGAGUAAUGUCUGGGAAACUGCCUGAUGGAGGGGGAUAACUACUGGAAACGGUAGCUAAUACCGCAUACCAUCGGAUGUGCCCAGCUGGGAUUAGCUAGUGGGUGGGGUAACGGCGCACCCAGGCGACGAUCCCUAGCUGGGCUGAGAGGAUGACCAGCCACACUUGAACUGAGACACGGUCCAGACUCCUACGAGAGGCAGCAGUGGGGAAUAUUGCACAAUGGGCGCAAGCCUGAUGCAGCCAUGCCGCGUGUAUGAAGAAGGCCUUCGGGUUGUAAAGCACUUUCAGCGGGGAGGCGUUACCCGCAGAAGAAGCACCGGCUAACUCCGUGCCAGCCGCCGCGGUAAUAC